CUGGAGAUAAUAAAUUUAUUUAAGGGUUAAUGCAGAUAAUUAACUGAAGUGCUGAAGCCAAUUUAUAUCCUGGUGCAAUAACUUUGACACUUCAAAUUACAGAGGCAAUUGGAUACUUACUUUCUCCUUGCUCACAUGUGCUCUGUCAAGCUUAAAGAAUGGACGCUUGUCCUGCUUACUCUGUUAAGAAGUUCUAAGGUGUUUUUUGACUUAUUCAGACAUGAUGUUCGGCUGUGAAAAGCAUGCAGCACCACAAUGCAGACUCAUUCAAGAUUUAUUGGAAGAGAAAAACUUUGCAACGAUGGAAGAUAUAUGAAGGUGAAUGCAGACUUCAUCUUUGCUCGAUGUACAUCAUGUUUUCUUGCUGACAAAGUUAUAUGUUCGAGUGGUUUCCUUCACGUGGAUCUACUUGAAAGAUCUGAUGGGUUUUAUUCAAACAUAUGGACCAUGGUUAACCAUGGUUUUCAUCACAAGUCAUUUUUCUGGUGCUAAUCUCAUGAAUAUGCCAUAGUUUGUGUGGUCAGACAAGUGCAUAUAUUUUUGAGGUGUGGAUUAUUCUCUUCAUUUUUCCAUCCAAAUUUUGUAACUUUUUUUUUCUUUCUGAUUUUGUAAAAUAUGAACAGACCCAUUUGUAUAUAAUAUAUUGGUUAUGCCCCUGGUACAUCAGCAUUCAUAGUGAAAUUUAUUGCUUAUGCAAAACCUUUUUUUAUCA